UCCCGGGAGCGGGAAGGGAGGGUGGCACUAUUAUUAUCCAUGCGGAGAGAGGGCACAGCGAUGUUUGCACAGCGCAGACGGAAGCGCUGGUGGCAGCCCCGGGGCGCUGGGUGCGCGGCGGCGGGCAGCAAGGACAAGGUACGAACUUCCCCAUGCGGGGAACAGGGAGAGACAAGCGCUUCAAUCUCUUGUUGAAGGGCUCUGCAGUGAUGAUGGUGGCGGCGUGAGGCUGUCUUUCCAUAUCCACUCUUUUGUUUGCACGUAUAACCUGCCUCAGGUGAAACCCCUUACUCUAAGCUUACCCCAAAUCAGGUAAGGCUUGUGGGAAGAACAAAUACCAUUUAUGAAAUUUCAGGCUGCAAUAGCAGGGGAAAAGGAGAAUGCUAGAGCUGCUUCUGGGCCCACACUUCAGAUGGUUUGCUGGUGUUUUCUUUUUAACAGUGGUGAGGUGUCCUGGAGAUCAGAUGUGGAGAUAUGAGGAGCCAGAAAGCAUUUCUGAGCAUUCAAGUGUUGUAAUCAUGUUACUGCUCCCUGAGCUCAGCUGACACGCGAGAUAGGGAAACAUCUCCCACUGCCUAGGCAAAGCAUUUCUGGAUUCACUUGAAGAUUGAUGCAUGGACAUGUUUCCAUUGAAGUUGCUACAGGUGAUAGGAGAUUUCUUUGGGAGACUGACAAAAGGAUUGGAGCACAGCGAGUUAUUAUUAUAUCCACUUAUUAAAAAAAAAAAAAGACAAAAGAACAUGCUGUAAGAUCAAUAAUAUAGCCCAACUUGUGCAAUGCAGUAACUUCUCAGUGCUACAAAAAAAACCCAGGGAUGAUCACAGUCCUGAAUGCACACUCACAAAGCCAUUCCAGAUUGAAUCUGU